CCUACGGGAGACAGCAGUGGGGAAUAUUCCACAAUGGGGGAAACUCUGAUGCAGCGACGCCGCGUGAGUGAAGAAGUAUUUCGGUAUGUAAAGCUCUAUUGGCAGGGAAGAAAAUGACGGUACCUGAUUAAGAAGCCCCUGCUAACUACGUGCCAGCAGCCGCGGUAAUACGUAGGGGGCAAGCGUUAUCCGGAUUUACUGGGUGUAAAGGGAGCGUAGACGGCAGCGCAAGUCUGAAGUGAAAGGCCGGGGCUUAACCCCGGAACUGCUUUGGAAACUGUGCAGCUAGAGUGCAGGAGAGGUGAGUGGAAUUCCUAGUGUAGCGGUGAAAUGCGUAGAUAUUAGGAGGAACACCAGUGGCGAAGGCGGCUUACUGGACUGUAACGGACGUUGAGGCUCGAAAGCGUGGGGAGCAAACAGGAUUAGAUACCCCAGUAGUC
rnacentral:rRNA from 1 species